UGUGUAGGCGGAUUUGUAAGUACCUUGUGAAAUCCCACGGCUUAACCGUGGAACUGCUUGGUAUACUGCUUAUCUUGGGCCACUUAGGGGUUACCGGAACAAACGGUGGAGCGGUGAAAUGCGUAGAUAUCGUUUGGAACGCCAAUGGUGAAAACAGGUAACUGGGAGUGUGCCGACGCUGAGACACGAAAGCCAGGGGAGCGAACGGGAUUAGAUACCCCGGUAGUCCUGGCUGUAAACGAUGUCGACUAGAUCGUGGUGGCUCUGACGCUAUCACGGUCGAAGCAAAAGUGCUAAGUCGACCGCCUGGGAAGUACGGUCGCAAGGCUAAA
rnacentral:rRNA from 1 species